rnacentral:lncRNA from 1 species
UAUUGUUAGAUAAGAAUGGCGUGGCUUCUACUGUCUUCACUCCAUAAUUACAACUUGAUGUUUUCAAUGCUGCUGGAUGCAUUAACUUGCUACUAGUCACUCUUGAGUAAGUUGUCCUUCUUGAUUAAAAUAAACAAGUUAAAAUGUAACACAUGUUUUGUAAAUACAUCAUGAGGAAAACAAACUUAUAAACUAAGUAAAUUAAUUUAUUAAGUGAAUUCAAAACAAACAAUGGAAUACUUACCAUUUCCAUGAACAUUGUCCUGAGCUAGCAGCAGCACAUCUUUUUUAUAGCCCGAUCUCUCUCCCAUAUCUUACAGGUAGAUAAUUACAUAAUGGAUUAGUACUUCAUUAAAAGCCAUAAAAAAAAAAAAAAAUCUGUUACAACAAGAUUUGAAUUUACUCUAAAUAGCAACAUUACAUAAUCUGCUCUCAACAGCAAGAAAACCCCAUUUGCCCCAACAUAACAAACACGGUAGCAAAUGCUCCCUAAUAUAAGCAAAAUCACACAUCCAUUUCAGCUUUUGCAUUAAAUCAAACAAAAAAUCAUCCUUUUUCUCAUUAAAUCAAAGACAUAACAAGUCAAUUAGUUUAACAAGCAAUAGAUUCAUAAAAGUGAUAAAACCCACUUUUUUUUUGGUAAUAUAAAAACCAUAACCUUCUAACAUUAUAAAUUAUGAUUGUUUCAAAACUCAAGAAAUCAGAAGGUAUUACUCAAAGAACAACUUGCAGUAGCAUAUUCAUGAAAUUCAACAAACCCAUUUUCAUAUAUAAUUAACACAGUCACAGCAAAAAAAAAAAAAAAAAAAGCAUCGGCAAUAUGUUUUAAAUCACUGAAUCUUCAAAUGCAAGCUGUGAUUUGAAGAUUGACCUCUUAUUCGCUCCAAUCUCAGUCGUGGCUAACCCUGAUCGACGGAGAAACUUGCUUCGUGGGAGCCUUGGGCCAUUGCAGAGCUCAUCUCGUUCAUCACUCAAGGUACAAUUGCUUGCGAAGUGUUGAUCUUUGCACCAGCUUCUUCGAUGCUUUCUCCAGAGCAAACAAUUAAAAAUGGUUGUGUUGUGGCCUUGUGGGAUUAGUAUCAGAAACGAGGAGCAUAUCAAUCCGGUUGGAUGAAAAUUUAAUUUUACUUUUGUCCAAUGGUUAAACAAUUGAGCUGGGUAA